CUGAAGACAAUACCUUAACCCAGAAUCAGGAAGUUCAGGAAGAUUUUCUCUGAUCUUCAACUCGGUUCAUCUGAAACGAGCAUCAAUGCUGAACCGGACCUCCUCGUCUCUCCUGGUUCUGAUUCUGUGUUCUGCUGCUCUGGGAAAAUCUCUGCCCACCGUGAAUGAAACUCUGGACGUCUACGAGGCCAAGGAGAAC